UGGGGAAUAUUGCACAAUGGGGGAAACCCUGAUGCAGCGACGCCGCGUGAGCGAAGAAGGUUUUCGAAUCGUAAAGCUCUGUCCUAUGAGAAGAUAAUGACGGUAACCGGAGAAGAAGCCCCGGCUAACUUCGUGCCAGCAGCCGCGGUAAUACGAAGGGGGCAAGCGUUGUUCGGAUUUACUGGGCGUAAAGCGCACGUAGGCGGACUUUUAAGUCAGGGGUGAAAUCCCGGGGCUCAACCCCGGAACUGCCUUUGAUACUGGAAGUCUUGAGUAUGGUAGAGGUGAGUGGAAUUCCGAGUGUAGAGGUGAAAUUCGUAGAUAUUCGGAGGAACACCAGUGGCGAAGGCGGCUCACUGGACCAUUACUGACGCUGAGGUGCGAAAGCGUGGGGAGCAAACAGG
rnacentral:rRNA from 1 species